rnacentral:lncRNA from 1 species
UUGGAAACAAUGUUAUUCUUCAGUGAUAUAAAAAGCCAAAGCUUUCUGCUUCUUUGGAUCCUUUUGGAGUCCUUCAAGGAGGAACCAUUCCAGUACCAAUUGGACAUGCUCCCUGUGAUAGCUAGGCUGUUCGCAGGCUUUGAGGAGAGAAGAAAAUCCCUUUAAAAUAUUGACUCUUCUGGUCCAAAAAGGUGAAACUGGGGGGAAAUGCCAUCUAUACACAUUUUAUCUAAGAUUCCUGACUUGCUGUUGAUUUUAACAUAUCGAAACACUAUCAAUAUUGAAUGAAGCUUUUUCCGCGUGCCCCUCCAACGAAACAAAGGUGGCUGAGAAGGGAAGAGCGUAAUAUUUUCACACCUGGUUUUGCUUAUCUGCUCGCAGGAAGAAAAGGCCGUAGCUGAAUCCAUCCCACCAGAGGCUUGAAUUGUUAGGAAAGAGUCACAUUUUUAGAAAAGAACACCUGAUACUGAAGAAACCAUGAUUUUUGCCAUAGAAAUAGAUCUUCCUUCUUCAAAAAGGACCCUCUGCCGAAGUACUUGGAAUCCCCGCCCCCCCCAACAAAAUGAAUAUUUAUUAACAUAAGAAGAACCUGGAGCAGGUUGGUCCCGCACGUCCCAAUCUGCCAAAAUGCUUCCAAAUCUCUUGCCUGGCAUUUAAAAGACAUCUCUUUUUAUAAAUUCUUGUGAACUGAGGUUUUAGUACCAGUAAAGUAAUUUCU